CUGAUGCUUUCUCCCCAGGUUGCGCAGUUAAAUCUGCACGUUACUUAUCAAUCCACAGUGCCGGAGACUCCAAGUGGCAUCACAGAAACCAGCGUCAGUCAUCCUUCAGAACCUGAUGAAGCCAAGCAGCGCCGCGCCGCGCCGCCAACUCCCGGCCGAGCUGCCUCAGCGCUGCUGGCAGCGCCGGCGACACCGGGGGCUGCCGCGCGCUGUCGCCGCGACCCCCCUUCCUGCCGCC